GCCUUCGUGGUGUAAUGGUCAGCACACUGAGCCGGUAUUUCAAAAGGUCCGUGGUUCGAUCCCCGGCGAAGGAA
rnacentral:tRNA from 1 species